rnacentral:sRNA from 1 species
GUUAUAAUCUCCGUUGCUCUGGCUUUAUUCAAAUUAACAGAGAUAUAGCUCUAGGAGCAAGCAUCUCCCCUCUUUCCAAGUAUAACUCUUCCCAAUAUUAUAUCAGCAUCCUGGUCUGGAAGGACCCCAAAGAUGGUAACUGGUGGAUGAAGUAUGGAAGUGAUCAUGUUAUGGGAUACUGGCCAGCUUCUCUAUUCUCGCACCUUUCUGACAGUGCCUCAAUGAUUGAGUGGGGGGGAGAGGUUGUGAACUC